rnacentral:rRNA from 1 species
GACGAACGCUGGCGGCGUGCCUAAUACAUGCAAGUCGAACGCUUCUUUCCUCCCGAGUGCUUGCACUCAAUUGGAAAGAGGAGUGGCGGACGGGUGAGUAACACGUGUGUAACCUACCCAUCAGAGGGGGAUAACACUUGGAAACAGGUGCUAAUACCGCAUAACAGUUUAUGCCGCAUGGCAUAAGAGUGAAAGGCGCUUUCGGGUGUCGCUGAUGGAUGGACCCGCGGUGCAUUAGCUAGUUGGUGAGGUAACGGCUCACCAAGGCCACGAUGCAUAGCCGACCUGAGAGGGUGAUCGGCCACACUGGGACUAAGACACGGCCCAGACUCCUACGGGAGGCAGCAGUAGGGAAUCUUCGGCAAUGGACGAAAGUCUGACCGAGCAACGCCGCGUGAGUGAAGAAGGUUUUCGGAUCGUAAAACUCUGUUGUUAGAGAAGAACAAGGACGUUAGUAACUGAACGUCCCCUGACGGUAUCUAACCAGAAAGCCACGGCUAACUACGUG